rnacentral:lncRNA from 1 species
UUCAAAAAUGGGACAGCCCUUCUCAGCAAGAAGGGGUUCGCAGGGCUCUCUGGCUCGAUGGGCACGUACCCUUAGUUAAGGGAGACUUGGUGGUAGAUGAAACCAUUCUUAGAUUUCCGGGAAUUUUCAUGGAGGGCGUCCAUAGCCCUGAGGUUCAGGGGAGGUGAAGGCUGGAGGAUUCCUGAGGACUGAGUAUCUGGGAGGAAGAGAGGAGGAAAGACAUCUUCUGGUGUAUUUUUGGCUACAGACUGGGCCAUGCAGGACUUGGAAAGCUGACUGAUCCCUGUCGGCUUGGAUUCUAUAGAGCCCUCCUGGUGGCUCCUAGCCGGUGUCUGACUGACCAUUUUUGCACUUUUUCUAUACAGAUCAUUAAACUCUUGGGUUUAUUUUGCAGCAUACAAGUUAACAUAGGUCUCACGCAAGUACAUAUCAAAGCUAAGAACAGUAGCUUCCAUGACAAAACAUCUACUUUAUAUCAGACACCAUCCCAGAUGGCCUGAAGUAGCUCUUUAAACCCACAUGACCCCCCCCACACCCCCCACCAAGGAGCCAUUCUCCCAUCUUAUAAAUGAGGCACCUGAGACACAGGCACUAGUUUUUAAGUUUUGCCCCAAACCAUUUGAUUUGUUUGGAGAAAUCGGCGAUUGUUCUUGCUGGUUCCCCUCCUGUGGUCAGUCUGUCUUCUCCGUCGGUUUGUCCACAACCAGCAUCUUGGCUCAGCUUUGUCAUCUGUCCCCUGACCAGUUGCCAUUCCUUGCCUUGGGGUAACCCUGGGUUCUUUCAAACACACCCUUGUCUUGUCUCCACCAGACUGAGGCAGACCCCCUCUCUCUCCCCGGUUUGUCUACAACCAGCAUCUUGGCUCAGCUUUGUCAUCUGUCCCCUGACCAGUUGCCAUUCCUUGCCUUGGGGUAACCCUGGGUUCUUUCAAGCAAACCCUUGUCUUGUCUCCACCAGACUGAGGCAGACCCCCUCUCUCUCCCCACAGAACAUUUCAUGGAUUGUGCUGUCCCUCCCUUUCUCUUUCGGGAAGGACUUGUUGGCUAAGAACACCUGCUGGUCUGGACUUCUUCCUUCUCUCCGUGCCCACUGCUCGGAUAAGAAGCUUCUCUCGCCUCCUGCUAGUGAUUCAUCAUCCAGGUUACUUUUAUAAUGAUUAACACCUUUUAAUCAAGAAAUCCAUAAUUUGGACAUUGCACAGCAGAAACUUUCAUACGGGCUUACCACCUGGCAGUCAUUUAAAUGUGCUUCGUUAGAUUCAAACUAUGGAAACACACAGAAAAAGCUAUUGCACAAGGUAAAGCUUUUGGGUUUUGAUUAACA